CCUACGGGGCGCAGCAGUGGGGAAUAUUGCACAAUGGGGGGAACCCUGAUGCAGCGACGCCGCGUGGGUGAAGGAGUACUUCGGUACGUAAAGCCCUAUCAGCAGGAAAGAAAAUGACGGUACCUGACUAAGAAGCCCCGGCUAACUACGUGCCAGCAGCCGCGGUAAUACGUAGGGGGCAAGCGUUAUCCGGAUUUACUGGGUUUAAAGGGUGCGUAGGCGGUCGGAUAAGUUAGAGGUGAAAUCCCGAGGCUCAACUUCGGAAUUGCCUCUGAUACUGUUCGGCUAGAGAGUAGUUGCGGUAG
rnacentral:rRNA from 1 species